rnacentral:sRNA from 1 species
UUGACAGCCAUAGAAAGUGAGGUCCUCUGUCCACAGAACAAGUACACGAUAGGCAGCAGCUGUCACAUAGAUGGUCCUUCUGUAAGUACGCCUUACCAUUCAUGAGGUGAGAGAUGGUAGUUCAGUCUUCAUGGCCCAUUCAGUCCUUUAGUCAU